GGUGGAGGCGCAGCGAAAGCGAGUCUGAACAGGGCGUUCAGUUCGUGGCUUUAGACCCGAAACCGAGUGAUCUAGCCAUGUGCAGGAUGAAGGUGGGGUAACACCCACUGGAGGUCCGAACCAGUGCCCGUUGAAAAGGUCUUGGAUGACGUGUGGCUAGGGGUGAAAGGCCAAUCAAACUCGGAAAUAGCUGGUUCUCCGCGAAAGCUAUUUAGGUAGCGCCUCGCGUGAAUACCUCACGGGGUAGAGCACUGGAUGGGCUAGGGCCGCCCACAGCGGUACCAAACCCAACCAAACUCCGAAUACGUGAGAGUACUGCGCGGGAGACACACGGCGGGUGCUAACGUCCGUCGUGGAGAGGGAAACAACCCUGACCGACAGCUAAGGCCCCCAAUUCGUGGCUAAGUGGGAAAGGAUGUGGGACUCCCAAAACAACCAGGAGGUUGGCUUAGAAGCAGCCAUCCUUUAAAGAAAGCGUAACAGCUCACUGGUCUAAAUAAGGGGUCCUGCGCCGAAAAUGUAACGGGGCUCAAGCCACGAGCCGAAGCUUCGGAUUCACUCCUUCGGGGGUGAGUGGUAGCGGAGCGUUCCCUAGGCCUGUGAAGCGGUACCUGUGAGGGGCCGUGGAGGUAUGGGAAGUGCGAAUGCUGACAUGAGUAACGACAAAGAGUGUGAAAGACACUCUCGCCGAAAGUCCAAGGGUUCCUGCGUAAAGUUAAUCUGCGCAGGGUUAGCCGGCCCCUAAGGCGAGGCCGAAAGGCGUAGUCGAUGGGAACGGGGCGAACAUUCCCCGGCCAGCGGAUGGUGACGGAUGCCGUGUAUCGUUUGACCUUAUCGGAUUGGUCAGGCGGUGAAGGGGUCCCAGGAAAUAGCCUCCGCGUAAGACCGUACCCGAAACCGACACAGGUGGACUGGUAGAGUAUACCAAGGCGCUUGAGAGAACGAUGCUGAAGGAACUCGGCAAUUUGCCUCCGUAACUUCGGGAUAAGGAGGCCUCUGUUUUACGCAAGUAGGGCAGAGGGGCACAGACCAGGGGGUGGCGACUGUUUAUCUAAAACACAGGGCUCUGCGAAGUCUGUAAGACGACGUAUAGGGCCUGACGCCUGCCCGGUGCCGGAAGGUUAAGAGGAGAGGUGAGAGCUUUGAAUCGAAGCCCCGGUAAACGGCGGCCGUAACUAUAACGGUCCUAAGGUAGCGAAAUUCCUUGUCGGGUAAGUUCCGACCUGCACGAAUGGCGUAACGAUCUCCCCGCUGUCUCCAGCAUCGGCUCAGUGAAAUUGAAUUCCCCGUGAAGAUGCGGGGUUCCUGCGGUCAGACGGAAAGACCCCGUGCACCUUUACUGUAGCUUUGCGCUGGCCUUCGUGUCGGCAUGUGUAGGAUAGGUGGUAGGCUAUGAAGCCGGGGCGUCAGCCUUGGUGGAGCCGUCCUUGAAAUACCACCCUUGGCGAUAUGGUGGUCUAACCGCGACCCUU
rnacentral:rRNA from 1 species